rnacentral:tRNA from 1 species
GGACCAGCUGACCAGGUGUGCAGUCGCCUGACAAGCCAUCCCGGAUCUUCUUCUAAUCCCAAGGCCGCAGGUUCGAAUCCUGCCGGGCGCACCA